UACGUAGGGUGCGAGCGUUGUCCGGAUUUAUUGGGCGUAAAGAGCUCGUAGGCGGUUUGUCGCGUCGGCCGUGAAAUCUCCACGCUUAACGUGGAGCGUGCGGUCGAUACGGGCAGACUUGAGUUCGGUAGGGGGAGACUGGAAUUCCUGGUGUAGCGGUGAAAUGCGCAGAUAUCAGGAGGAACACCGGUGGCGAAAGCGGCUUCCUGGCCCGACAUUGACGCUCAUGUACGAGAGCGUGGGGGAGCAAACAGG
rnacentral:rRNA from 1 species